rnacentral:sRNA from 1 species
ACCGUCAUCUCCUGCCCCGCCGAGGCUUGACCCGUGCUGUCCCCCUCUCCCUUCCUUUGCCCACCGAUUGGAGGGACACUCUGGAAAACUCAGUUGAAGAAAGCGGAGAGUCUGCGUGUACACAGUGCAAUGAUGUCAGUUAAUGCACUAGUGAGGGCAUGUGUUUUUCACGGGGUACACAGAAGAAGGAACCACCAGCCCUUGGGACACUUAGGCAUUGGUGUAGACAAGGGAACAUUUGAGUCCUGGAGGAUGGAUAGGUCCACGGAGCGGAGGGAGGAGAAAAGGAUUCCAGUCUUAGCGAUCAGCAUCAGCAAAGGCUCCGAGGUGCCAGAGGCAUAGUGGGGAAGCAGAUUUGAGAGAAAGACCUUAGUUUGGAUAAACGGAGUCUGAACUCGCCUCGGAUUUGCCGGGGGUGGAGCUCAGGACGUCCUGGUUGGGGAGGGCAUUCAGAGAGUAGAUGCCAGUCCUGGGAAAGGCAGGGGAGGAGAGGAGAGCCACGGCUGACGCUUGGGGACAGA